rnacentral:lncRNA from 1 species
AGCCUCGGAUGUGUGAAGGCCACUGCUGCUCACCUCCCUGUGCCUGUAUCUUUCUGCUUCUUUCCUCUGGCAUGUACUAUCGCAAACUCCCACUUUGAAUUUCGCCUCUGCUGCGCACCGGUGAGGCACUAUUUCAGUCCCACCCCUCUUCACUCAUUUCAGAGGCACUCAGACUGGUGACACAGCAUUUUCCAGCAUGUACCCAGACAGGACAAGAGAGGGACAAAUGUUCCAGCAAGGAUGUACAGAUUCACCAACAACCAGCUUCCAGCCCCAGCAACUGUGUAUUUGAAGUGGAAGAGUCACUAAUCAGAGAACAGAAAUACUUUCCUUGGAAGCUCAUGUGGAAAGUUAUGAGCAGAUUUCUACCAGAAAAGAAAGAUUUGCUGUGUAGCAGGAGGCAAUGUCACCACAUGAUGCCUUAAUUUCAAACUUCUUCUUGGACCCAAGCGCCCCAGCUGCAGACAUGGUGGGUGGAAUGGAGAGCAGAGUCAGCCCCUUGGCUUUGUGAGUGUCAAACAACUUCACACUUGAGAGGAAUCAAAUUAAUGACUAAUUAAUUCAUUCACUCAUUUCUUUCACGGAAAAAUAGGCACCUAUAUCUCAGCGGUACUCAGUAGUGCACUGUGUAAAGAAACAGCUCUGCUCUUUCUAAAUGCCAGAGUACAGCCCCAAGGACUACCCAAGGACUGGUUGCAUGAGGACCUUCUCCAAGGACUGUUGCACUUGCCCUACCAAUACACAUGAUUACUGUCAAUACAUACACCACCAAAACAUACAAGAGCUGCUACCCAUGUCAGCAUCAACUGAGACUGGCAAAAGAGUCAGCUGAAGAAAAGCUCUUACACCUGGAAAGGAUGGCUGUGUCUAUACUGCACCUACUAAGCAUUCAAGGAAAAUGCUGCUAUUUGACUGUGUCACUAUAAAUCUGCCAAGGCUUCUGAGAGCAGCAUUUCCUAUUUGCAUACUGUGGCUUAUGGAGAUAGCUGAGGUGCUUUUAUCCCAGUGCUUGUCUGGGAGAUAAUUGCAAACUCCUCCCAAACAGUGCUUAUUAGAGGCCAAGAAGUGUGCCUGGUUUUCUGCACUGUCAGCUUGCAAAUGUUCAGAGGAGAAGUUAUGGAGAAACUUGAGAAGUAAUUAAGGUGUAGCCCUAUUCACAGAUCUCUGAAGAGGAGCAAGACAUAAUGAAGUGAGGCUAUGAAAGGCACUAUUUAGCCUUGAAAAGCUGUCAUUGUUUCUGAGAUUAGAAAGUGAAUUCUGGUAGCUCUACUGCAGCAGAAUUCAGAGAGAAUCAAAAUAUAUAUUAGUCAAUGUAAGGUAAGUAAAAAUCAACCUUCUUGAAAAAAUGCGAUCUUCCAGUUUUGGGGGCAGAAGGCUUGGCUUGGUCCUGGUGAGUUUCAAAAGCAUAUUACUAAAAUUAUUGAAAAUAAUAUCAUUUGCUCCUGAAAUUUCAGGUAUUUUCUUUUUAAUAAUUUUCACAGCAAAAGCACAGUAAUGUGAUAGACCGACAUUUUGCAUUAAUUCUGUGCAGCACUGAACAACUGAAUAACCCCUGCAAUGAAAAUCAAAUCUCAGCCAUUAUUGUGUGAUGACAGGAGUCUCCACAGCAGGAGUUCCUGCUUCGGUAUCCUCAGCUGGAUUGGAAGAGAAGAGAAGAGAGAAGAGAAGAGAAGAGAAGAGAAGAGAGAAGAGAAGAGAAGAGAAGAGAAGAGAAGAGAAGAGAAGAGAAGAGAAGAGAAGAGAAGAGAAGAGAAGAGAAGAGAAGAGAAGAGAAGAGAAGAGAAGAGAAGAGAAGAGAAGAGAAGAGAAGAG